GGGUGCGAUCAUACCAGCACUAAUGCACCGGAUCCCAUCAGAACUCCGAAGUUAAGCGUGCUUGGGCGAGAGUAGCACUAAGAUGGGUGACCUCCUGGGAAGUCAUCGUGUUGCACCCC
rnacentral:rRNA from 1 species